rnacentral:rRNA from 1 species
GUGCCAGCCGCCGCGGUAAUACCGGCAGCCCAAGUGAUGGCCGCUGUUAUUGGGCCUAAAGCGUCCGUAGCUGGCCGCACAAGUCCGUCGGGAAAUCCACCUGCCCAACAGGUGGGCGUCCGGCGGAAACUGUGUGGCUUGGAACCGGAAGGCUCAGAGAGUACGUCCGGGGUAGGAGUGAAAUCCUGUAAUCCCGCUCGGACCGCCGAUGGGGAAACCACCUCAGGAGAACGGAUCCGACAGUGAGGGACGAAAGCCAGGGUCUCGAACCGGAUUAGAUACCCGAGUAGUCC